rnacentral:tRNA from 1 species
UGUGGGGUAGUUCAACUGGCAGAACACCGGGCCUCGGCCCGGAGCCGGCGGUUCGAGUCCGCCCCCCUCAG